rnacentral:rRNA from 1 species
UACGAAGGGGCUAGCGUUGCUCGGAAUCACUGGGCGUAAAGCGCACGUAGGCGGAUUGCUAAGUCAGGGGUGAAAUCCUGGAGCUCAACUCCAGAACUGCCUUUGAUACUGGCGACCUUGAGUCCGGGAGAGGUGAGUGGAACUGCGAGUGUAGAGGUGAAAUUCGUAGAUAUUCGCAAGAACACCAGUGGCGAAGGCGGCUCACUGGCCCGGUACUGACGCUGAGGUGCGAAAGCGUGAGGAGCAACAGG